AAAUAACCAAAUUCCGAAAUCAGAAAAGUUACUCUCAUUACGAGGUUGCAAAUCUAAAAUUUGAAGUUUAUAACGUAAAAAAUUAAUUAUUAGGUUCGUAAUAAUAGAUUUUUUAAGUGUCCAGCCGAGCAUAUAACAGAAACACCAGCGUGAAAAGUGAACAAGUUUCAGGUAAAAGAUUCUAAAGAAAAACAAAGUAGCAGAAAACAAGGAAGCACACCUCAAUGGAAACAUGCAAAGACAAUUUGAAUGUGUUUUUCUUAAGCAAGUUCAGUUUCAUUGCUAAGAUCUGUCCAAAUGUCAAUUACAAAGUCCUCAAUACAAAGUUUUCUACCCCAGCUAUAUAUCUUAUUAACGAUUAGAGCAUCUUGCUUUAAUUCAGAUUACAUUUGUCCAAACCCUAUGUCCUUUUGUCUUUCAUUCUUUUUUAUUAAUGUGAUAUCUGAGUCAGCUUGUGUGUUCCUCGACUAGUUUCAUAGAGUACUUGUUACCUCUCACUAACAUAAAGUAUCGAACAACUUUAUAUAUCAAGAUUUGGACAAAUGAAAAGGAAUCAUUUAAUA